UUAUUAUUAUCAACGUUGGUAUAAAUUACAACAAUAUAGGUAUACCUGAUUAAAAAUUAUAAAUAUUUAAAUCAAUUUACCCCGAUAAGCAUAGUUUUUUCGGAGAAGGAAACUAUCGCGAUAGUAUAUAACAAUCAUAGAUAUAGCGGCCAUACGAUAAUGUUGUAGAAUGGCAAUGCAAUAGACAACACGAUAGUACAGUGAUUUUCAGUAUAAAAACGUCUGUUAUCACGAUUCACGAGAGUAAAAUAGAAUGAUAAUAAUAGUAUUAUUACGCGUCUACACGUUGAGUUAUUUACAUUACUCUCGCGUCAGUUACUAUUAUACCAAUACGUAUGCAUGAUAGUGUGAUAGUUACUUUCAAGAUUGUCCGAUAGUGUUACAAGAGCUCUAUUUAUACCACGAUAGCUUAUGACAGUAACUAUCAUAGUUGCGAUUUUCGCAACAAUCACGAUGUACAAUAUAAUACUCAACUAUAAACGUGAGGUCCAGGCGUUGUGAAUAUUGUGUAGGAACUUUUAACUAAUAAUAAAACAUGUGAUAAUAUUAUUUAUUUAUUUAAUUUACUGCGACUAUCGAUAAGUUAUAUAGCAGUGUAUAAUUAU